rnacentral:rRNA from 1 species
UACGUAGGGGGCGAGCGUUGUCCGGAUUUAUUGGGCGUAAAGAGCGUGUAGGCGGUUCGGUAAGUCUGUCGUGAAAUCCUGAGGCUCAACCUCGGACGUGCGAUGGAUAUUGCCGGGCUAGAGGAUGGUAGAGGCGAGUGGAAUUCCCGGUGUAGCGGUGAAAUGCGCAGAUAUCGGGAGGAACACCAGUAGCGAAGGCGGCUCGCUGGGCCAUUCCUGACGCUGAGACGCGAAAGCUAGGGGAGCGAACAGG